AGUGAACGCUGGCGGUAGGCCUAACACAUGCAAGUCGAACGGCAGCACAGUAAGCGCUUGCUCUUACGGGUGGCGAGUGGCGGACGGGUGAGGCAUACAUCGGAAUCUACUUUUUCGUGGGGGAUAACGUAGGGAAACUUACGCUAAUACCGCAUACGACCUACGGGAGAAAGCAGGGGAUCUUCGGACCUUGCGCGAUUGAAUGAGCCGAUGUCGGAUUAGCUAGUUGGCGGGGUAAAGGCCCACCAAGGCGACGAUCCGUAGCUGGUCUGAGAGGAUGAUCAGCCACACUGGAACUGAGACACGGUCCAGACACCUACGGGAGGCAGCAGUGGGGAAUAUUGGACAAUGGGCGCAAGCCUGAUCCAGCCAUACCGCGUGGGUGAAGAAGGCCUUCGGGUUGUAAAGCCCUUUUGUUGGGAAAGAAAAGCAGCAGGUUAAUACCCCGCUGUUCUGACGGUACCCAAAGAAUAAGCACCGGCUAACUUCGUG
rnacentral:rRNA from 1 species